rnacentral:rRNA from 1 species
UACGGGGGGGGCAAGCGUUGUUCGGAAUUACUGGGCGUAAAGGGCUCGUAGGUGGCCAACUAAGUCAGACGUGAAAUCCCUCGGCUUAACCGGGGAACUGCGUCUGAUACUGGAUGGCUUGAGUUCGGGAGAGGGAUGCGGAAUUCCAGGUGUAGCGGUGAAAUGCGUAGAUAUCUGGAGGAACACCGGUGGCGAAGGCGGCAUCCUGGACCGACACUGACACUGAGGAGCGAAAGCCAUGGGAGCAAACGGG